rnacentral:rRNA from 1 species
GACGAACGCUGGCGGCGUGCUUAACACAUGCAAGUCGAACGGUAAGGCUCCAGCUUGCUGGGGUACACGAGUGGCGAACGGGUGAGUAACACGUGGGUGACCUGCCCUGCACUUCGGGAUAAGCCUGGGAAACUGGGUCUAAUACCGGAUAGGACCAUGGUGUGGAUACUGUGGUGGAAAGUUUUUUCGGUGUGGGAUGGGCCCGCGGCCUAUCAGCUUGUUGGUGGGGUACUGGCCUACCAAGGCGGCGACGGGUAGCCGGCCUGAGAGGGUGGACGGCCACAUUGGGACUGGGACACGGCCCAGACGCCUACGGGAGGCAGCAGUGGGGAAUAGUGCACAAUGGGCGGAAGCCGGAUGCAGCGACGCCGCGUGGGGGAUGACGGCCGUCGGGUUGUAAACUCCUUUCACCAUCGACGAAGGGUUUCUGACGGUAGAUGGAGAAGAGGCACCGGCUAACUACGU